ensembl:snRNA LOC120098023 U2 spliceosomal RNA
AUCGCUUCUCGGCCUUUUGGCUAAGAUCAAGUGUAGAAAUUCCCCUGGGAUCUAAGAGUCCUAUUUUCCUUUCCGAAUGGAGGACAUAGGUUGUAAAUAUCUAUGUCAUAGUGGAGAGAUAUUAUGCGAUGUUGAUAAAAUGUACUGCAGCUUCCUUCCGCUUUCCAUU